rnacentral:rRNA from 1 species
UACGAAGGGGGGCUAGCGUUGUUCGGAAUUACUGGGCGUAAAGCGCACGUAGGCGGGCGAUUAAGUCAGGGGGUGAAAUCCCGGAGCUCAACUCCGGAACUGCCUUUGAUACUGGUCGUCUAGAGAUCGGAAGAGGUGAGUGGAAUUCCCAGUGUAGAGGUGAAAUUCGUAGAUAUUCGCAAGAACACCAGUGGCGAAGGCGGCUCACUGGCCCGGAACUGACGCUGAGGUGCGAAAGCGUGGGGAGCAAACAGG